CAGAAGGGAAUCAGCACAAUGAUGUAUCAGUACAUAACUCGACAACUGGAGCACCGGUCCUCCAACUAGCCGGCGGGAAGCUUUUGGCAGCUGUAUUUGGCAGAUGAAGUCUCUAGGAGGGGGUCUUGGAAGCACUUAGAAAGUGAAGGUGGAUAUCAGUUCUUUCUGGUUAGAGGACAAAAGAUUACCUGAGAAACUCAAUUUACCCUUGCAGUGGGAGGCAUAUGGGGAACUGAUUUGAGCUGAAGGUAUGUCACCUGUGGGACCAGGCUCUGUGGCAGAUUAGUCCGUGACAAGACUUUCAGGUCCCAAGUACUGAGUUCAGCAGGCGAUGGUCGGAGGUUUGGGUACAAAACUGCUCAGAAUGGGGGUGUGGAGUCCCGCAUCCCCCAAGUGAAAAAGCGCAACUGCUCUUUACAAAGCUGUCUCUGGAAAGAACAUGUACUUGGCAAAUCAGACUAGGAACUGCCAAACACGUCCUUCAUCCUUCCUCGUUGGCUCCGCCCAAAGCGUUGAGUCUGGAGUGGGACAGGUGGAUCCUUCAAUCUGAUUCGACCCAAUUUCUCCCGCCUUCCGCAAUCACUUAACCAAUGAGAGAGCGAUGGGGGGGGGUCUACCAAAUGACGCUUUCGCCUUCCUUGAGUCUAUGAGGCAUUAGCCAAUCAAUGGAUAGUUGAUGGUUGCUAAGAAACACAUGUGUGUAGCUCCACCCACAACUAGGAUAUAAGCCAAUGAAAACUCGUAUUUUGGACUAUUGAGCCAAAACCAGGAGGUUAGAUCCAGCGUCUAGCGCUGCCGCGCACGCGCAGAUUGCGAAAGGCGCUGGAAGAUAGCGGAGGUUCCGCCAUUUUGCGGGAAGAGGAGCAACUCCGGCUGCAGUGCUGCUUUUCCAGCUGAGACUGUGGGAAAUAGCUGCACUUCGCGUCCCCCCCACACACUCCUAAAGGAACGGAGAAAACCGGGACCCCCCGCUGCGGGGACCCGGAACUGCUCUGACAUGAUGGCGUCUGAUGACUUUGAUAUAGUAAUUGAGGCCAUGCUGGAAGCUCCCUAUAAAAAAGAGGAGGAUGAGCAGCAAAGGAAAGAGGUUAAAAAGGACAGUCCUAGCAGUGCCACUAGCAGCACCAGCCACAGUGGUAGUGGUACCAGCAGGAGCAACACCACCCGGGACACAAGCAAGAAGAAGAGGAGUCGGAGCCACAGUAGAAGCAGGGAUAGAAAGUACAGUCAUAGUCGAGACCGAGACCGACAUUGUGAGAGAAGGAGCGGGAGCCGAAGUGGUGAUCGGCAGCAGCGACCCUGCAGCCAAAGCUGGGACCGUCCACAUAGUAGUGAGUCACGAAGUCAAGACUGGCGGCGUGAGGAUUAUGUGCCCUAUAGGCGUCUUCCACUUGCCACUGGGUAUCACCUUUUGCUAAUAAUAUCACUCUUGUAUCUUAAUCUGGUAGAACAAAAUGUGUACUAUGGAUCCUGCCUGAGGGUACUGUGAUAGGUAGGGUAUUGGGUCAGUGGAGGGGUGGUACGGGUUGAGUAACCUGUAUCUGAAAUGCUUGGGACCAGACAUGUUUGGGGCUGGUGGUUCUUCUUCUCUUUUGGAAUUUUUGCAUAUAUAUAAUGAGAUACCUUGGGGGUGGGACUCAAGUCUUAAGUACAGAGUUCUGUUUAUGUUGCAUGUUUACCUAACACACAUAGCUUGAGGGUAAUUUUAUAUGUUGUUAGUGUGCCUUUGUUUUUGUUUAGUUCUUUGAGACAGGGUCUUGCUGUGUGGUCCAGGCUGGCCUCAAACUCAUGGCAAUCCUCCUGCCUCAGCCUCCUGAGUGUUGGGAUUAUAGCCAUGUGCCAUCAGGCCUGGCAGUUUGCUUUUUUUCUGACUGCAACUGCAGUUUUGGUAUUUUCUACUUGUGGGUCAUGUUGACACACAGCACAGUUUUGGAUUUUAUAGCAUUUCAGAUUAGGGAUCCUCAGCCUGUGCUAAGAGUUUACUUGUGAGAAACAACAGACCAGUGUGAAUACAGUUUUCCUUUUGCUUUUCUCUGUUCCUUAGGUGGAGGUAUGGGCCCAGUAAGAGUCCUCAUUUCAGAGAGAGGAGCCCGGUCAGGUGAGUUGAUGUGAGCACUGGUUUAGGGAUUAUGAAGUAUGAGUGAAAGCUUGGCUGAACCAGACUGCAGCAGGCAUAUAUGUUACUUGGGUGUUAGCUAGAAAACAGUGACUGAGUCUUAAGAGGGGCAGUAUCACCACAUUUUACUCUUUUUUUUAAA
rnacentral:lncRNA from 1 species